GACCGCUGGGCACUCCUACCUCCGCUUCGCUGCACAGGACUCGGGGACAGAUGCGACGGAGGCCUCGAUCUCCUGGCCCUCCAUCCGCUCAGCGAUGUCUCCGCUCCCUCGCGCCGAUCUUGCCGUCCUCCUGCAGCCUGCUGAACAUGAGCCAGCACCUGGUCCAACGAUCCGUGCGACUCCUGGUAAGCUGCCAUCAUUCUCAC